GCGUAAAUUGCAUAGUUUUUCUAGUAAACUUUUUUACGUAGUUCGUACUCAGUUUUUAAGAGUUCAUAUACAUUUUUAUAUAUACAUACAUAACACGUCGCCUGAAAAGCCUCGCGGCUGACCCAAAGAUGGCCCCUCCAUCAAGAACCCUUACCGCUCCCCAUUAGCAUCAGUCUUUAAGUGAUAGAGAAACCGAAUUUCGUGUGUUGAUUAAGCAUUGUUUUUUAAUGAGAAAAAUACCUUUUAAGCUCAGCAAUGGCUUGAAAAGUGUUAUAAGGGAUCCCGCUUCUUCGAAAACAACGAUUUCAUUUUGUUAGUUGAUUAAAACAGGCCUUACUAGCACAAAUGCUGCAGAACGAAGUCGUGUGAGUUAGCUGACAUCGCAAAGUACUUAUGAAAUGUAUAAACUAUAUUUUGCUCGAAAUUUGGACGUGAGAAACCUUUAAUUGCAAAUGGGUACCGCGUUUGCUCACUGUGGGCCAAAAACAAGAAUGCGUUGAAGAUUCGAAAUUUUCGGAGCUGCUUAAGCGAAACAAAAAGGAAGGCCGCGAAUAUUAAUAAUACUACUGGUUUGAUUGAGGGGGAAUUCUAAUCGGUGCUCUUUCAUCAAGGCAGACAAUGCACCGUGUCACAAGCCGAUAAUUACGAUGACAUAAUCGCAUAAACACGUUUGGAUUGGUUCCGUACCCAUUGACUUUCCUUAUCUGUCCUCCAGCGACUUUUUCUCUUUGCAGACCUCAUGUGCUCCAUGGAAAGAUGAUGAGUGGCAACUCUUCUAUAAAAAAAAGAGU